ensembl:lncRNA
CUCCUAGGGGCUUUGCGAAUGAAAGAAAAUAAAAUAUCUGUCUGGGAGGCUGCUGAGCUCCUAGAAGGCAGCAACAAGUUUUGGCUCCCUCCCACUGUGGGACUGCCGGGGAUGGAGUCAGAACAGCCUCACUCACAUCCCACCCUGGUAUCCCAGGAUCAGCCCAGCCUCACUCACAUCCACCCUGGGAUGCCCAGGAUCAGCCCAGCCUCACUCACAUCCACCCUGGGAUGCCCAGGAUCAGCCCAGCCUCACUCACAUCCACCCUGGGAUGCCCAGGAUCAGCCCAGCCUCACUCACAUCCACCCUGGGAUGCCCAGGAUCAGCCCAGCCUCACUCACAUCCACCCUGGGAUGCCCAGGAUCAGCCCAGCCUCACUCACAUCCACCCUGGGAUGCCCAGGAUCAGCCCAGCCUCACUCACAUCCACCCUGGGAUGCCCAGGAUCAGCCCAGCCUCACUCACAUCCACCCUGGGAUGCCCAGGAUCAGCCCAGCCUCACUCACAUCCACCCUGGGAUGCCCAGGAUCAGCCCAGCCUCACUCACAUCCACCCUGGGAUGCCCAGGAUCAGCCCAGCCUCACUCACAUCCACCCUGGGAUGCCCAGGAUCAGCCCAGCCUCACUCACAUCCACCCUGGGAUGCCCAGGAUCAGCCCAGCCUCACUCACAUCCACCCUGGGAUGCCCAGGAUCAGCCCAGCCUCACUCACAUCCACCCUGGGAUGCCCAGGAUCAGCCCAGCCUCACUCACAUCCACCCUGGGAUGCCCAGGAUCAGCCCAGCCUCACUCACAUCCACCCUGGGAUGCCCAGGAUCAGCCCAGCCUCACUCACAUCCACCCUGGGAUGCCCAGGAUCAGCCCAGCCUCACUCACAUCCACCCUGGGAUGCCCAGGAUCAGCCCAGCCUCACUCACAUCCACCCUGGGAUGCCCAGGAUCAGCCCAGCCUCACUCACAUCCACCCUGGGAUGCCCAGGAUCAGCCCAGCCUCACUCACAUCCACCCUGGGAUGCCCAGGAUCAGCCCAGCCUCACUCACAUCCACCCUGGGAUGCCCAGGAUCAGCCCAGCCUCACUCACAUCCACCCUGGGAUGCCCAGGAUCAGCCCAGCCUCACUCACAUCCACCCUGGGAUGCCCAGGAUCAGCCCAGCCUCACUCACAUCCACCCUGGGAUGCCCAGGAUCAGCCCAGCCUCACUCACAUCCACCCUGGGAUGCCCAGGAUCAGCCCAGCCUCACUCACAUCCACCCUGGGAUGCCCAGGAUCAGCCCAGCCUCACUCACAUCCACCCUGGGAUGCCCAGGAUCAGCCCAGCCUCACUCACAUCCACCCUGGGACUGCCCAGGAUCAGCCCAGCCUCACUCACAUCCCACCAAGAGCUGAGAGAGCCCUGCCUGUGCACUGAAGGGAGCUGUGUUUCGUGUGCUGAAGGAAAUGCAGCACAUCUGUAAGUUUUGCAGGGCCAGAGGCUGAAUCAUGAACUGCUGCUGCAGGAUCCAGCCCUGAGCUCCUAAGGGAAGGGUCCCCAGCACCAGGAGCACCUGGGACACACACCCUGCUCCCUGCCAAAACUUCUUCUGCACAGAUUUU